rnacentral:lncRNA from 1 species
GCCUCCGAUUCCACCUUCCCACACUCCCCUUGUUUUCCUCCUCUGAGUACCCCAGACACUCACUUCUGGAUUUUGGAAGUACUAAAACAUGUCUUCUUUUCUCUUUAUCUACUAUCCAAAUUAGUCUUAGUUUCCUGGGGGAGCAGGGACCUCUCUCCAUGGUGGAGGGAGCCUCCAUUUGUCUCCUACCCCUCUCUCUACAUCUGUGUUCCAGGUGGAAAAUGCUUUUGCUUCUUGUUUACCUCCUCUUCAUAGAAACCAGAUCUUGCUGGUCCUCACUUGGAGGUAACCUCGGGUUCUGAAGAGCUUUGAGAAUCACUGUCCAUGAGCAGGCAGCCACUUCCUUACAGCAAGAAAGAUUCUAAGAGUCAUAAAUCAGCAUCCUGUAAAGGAUCAUUGAUGAGAUCGCCCUGUUCUCAGCAGCAUCUCGCAGCAGCAGCAGCAGCAGCAGCAGCAGCAGCAGCAGCAGCAGCAGCAGCAGCACCCAGGACUGGACACUGCCCGCCUCAGUGAUUGACAAGCUUCUGUGAUUAUUUCUGCUUGACUGUUGCGGAAUCGAUGCUGCUUAGAGAAGCAGCAAUGCCUUUAAAAGCCGUUAUGUCGUAGGAAACAAUAGCUACAUAAUAAAAUAG